AUUGAACGCUGGCGGCAGGCCUAACGCAUGCAAGUCGAGCGGAUGAAGGGAGCUUGCUCCUGGAUUCAGCGGCGGACGGGUGAGUAAUGCCUAGGAAUCUGCCUGGUAGUGGGGGAUAACGUCCGGAAACGGGCGCUAAUACCGCAUACGUCCUGAGGGAGAAAGUGGGGGAUCUUCGGACCUCACGCUAUCAGAUGAGCCUAGGUCGGAUUAGCUAGUUGGUGGGGUAAAGGCCUACCAAGGCGACGAUCCGUAACUGGUCUGAGAGGAUGAUCAGUCACACUGGAACUGAGACACGGUCCAGACUCCUACGGGAGGCAGCAGUGGGGAAUAUUGGACAAUGGGCGAAAGCCUGAUCCAGCCAUGCCGCGUGUGUGAAGAAGGUCUUCGGAUUGUAAAGCACUUUAAGUUGGGAGGAAGGGCAGUAAGUUAAUACCUUGCUGUUUUGACGUUACCAGCAGAAUAAGCACCGACUAACUUCGUG
rnacentral:rRNA from 1 species